rnacentral:miRNA from 1 species
UAGAACUGUCUUAGAAUGUGCUAC